CCUANGGGGGGCUGCAGUAGGGAAUAUUGCACAAUGGGCGAAAGCCUGAUGCAGCAACGCCGCGUGCGCGAUGACAGCCUCCGGGUUGUAAAGCGCUUUUCGGGGAGAUGAGGAAGGACAGUAUCCCCGGAAUAAGGCUCGGCUAACUACGUGCCAGCAGCCGCGGUAACACGUAGGAGCCAAGCGUUAUCCGAAUUCACUGGGCGUAAAGCGCGUGCAGGCGGCUCGAUAAGUUGGAUGUGAAAGCUCCUGGCUCAACUGGGAGAGGACGUUCAAUACUGUCGGGCUAGAGGGCGACAGAGGGAGGUGGAAUUCCCGGUGUAGUGGUGAAAUGCGUAGAUAUCGGGAGGAACACCAGUGGCGAAAGCGGCCUCCUGGGUCGCACCUGACGCUCAGACGCGAAAGCUAGGGGAGCGAAUGGGAUUAGAUACCCUGNUANUC
rnacentral:rRNA from 1 species